GUCUUGCAAAACUAAAGAGUUAUUUACAAUCUUGGUACUAUUAGCAGUUGCAGUUCAUCUCAAUUGUGGAUCUUUAAACGCCAAGGAAGCCACUGGCUAUUCUAGAAGAAGCAUCUAUGACUUCAAUUUGGCAGACCAAACUAGAUCUUCACGAGGACUCCGGAGCGCCGGUUUGGAAUUUAACGCCACAAAUUCAAGUUCAAGUGGGCGACACAACGAAACGCUGCCACUUGAAGAGAAUAAACACAUGUAUGAAUUUUCUUUGCGACCCAACGAUAGUUUACCUACUUUCUCGCCCAAUGAAAACAGUUCACUCAUCAGACGUUUCCACAAAAGAGCUUUCCAUACCGACCCUAGAUUUCAAGCGGACAGCGCAGCAUUUGAGGGACCAGGGACUUCCGGGAAUAUGUAUAUAUCUCAACACAGGUCUAACCCUCAAGACACAGAUUUGUGGCUUGUUGUAAAACCAUCAGUGCAUUGUUCAGGAGAUGCAAUGACUCUAACAGCCCAAAGGAAAGAAUUCACCCACAUCCUUGUGGACAGAGCGGAUGCUUCCCCAGUACAUUUGUACCAGUUACCUGCAAAUUGUGGUUACACUGUCAGAGUUACAUGGAAAGAACUUGUGCUAAUGGCCCCGUUUGAUGGGUGCUACAUCACA